rnacentral:rRNA from 1 species
ACUCCUACGGGAGGCAGCAGUGGGGAAUAUUGGACAAUGGGCGCAAGCCUGAUCCAGCCAUGCCGCGUGUGUGAAGAAGGCCUUAUGGUUGUAAAGCACUUUAAGCGAGGAGGAGGCUACUUUAGUUAAUACCUAGAGAUAGUGGACGUUACUCGCAGAAUAAGCACCGGCUAACUCUGUGCCAGCAGCCGCGGUAAUACAGAGGGUGCAAGCGUUAAUCGGAUUUACUGGGCGUAAAGCGCGCGUAGGCGGCUAAUUAAGUCAAAUGUGAAAUCCCCGAGCUUAACUUGGGAAUUGCAUUCGAUACUGGUUAGCUAGAGUGUGGGAGAGGAUGGUAGAAUUCCAGGUGUAGCGGUGAAAUGCGUAGAGAUCUGGAGGAAUACCGAUGGCGAAGGCAGCCAUCUGGCCUAACACUGACGCUGAGGUGCGAAAGCAUGGGGAGCAAACAGGAUUAGAUACCCUGGUAGCUACGAGU